UACGGGGGGGGCAAGCGUUGUUCGGAAUUACUGGGCGUAAAGGGCUCGUAGGCGGCCAACUAAGUCGGAUGUGAAAUCCCCAGGCUCAACCUGGGAACUGCAUCCGAUACUGGAUGGCUUGAAUUCGGGAGAGGGAUGCAGAAUUCCAGGUGUAGCGGUGAAAUGCGUAGAUAUCGUAAGGAAGACCAGUGGCGAAGGCGGGUCUCUGGACAGUUCCUGACGCUGAGGCCCGAAGGCCAGGGGAGCAAACGGG
rnacentral:rRNA from 1 species